rnacentral:rRNA from 1 species
GACGAACGCUGGCGGCGUGCUUAACACAUGCAAGUCGAACGGAAAGGCCCGGCUUUUGUGGGGUGCUCGAGUGGCGAACGGGUGAGUAACACGUGAGUAGCCUGCCCUUGACUUUGGGAUAACUUCAUGAAACUGGGGCUCAUACCGGAUAUGAUCUCCUGCUGCAUGGUGUUGGUUGGAAAGUGUCGGCGGUUCGGGAUGGACUCGCGGCUUAUCAGCGUGUUGGUGAGGUAGUGGCUUACCAAGGCUUUGACGGGUAGCCGGACUGGGAGGGUGACCGGCCACAUUGGGACUGAGAUACGGCCAAGAGUCCUACGGGAGGCAGCGGUGGGGAAUAUUGCAAGAUGGGCGGAAGCCUGAUGCAGCAACGCCGCGUGCGGGAUGACGGCCUUCGGGUUGUAAACCGCUUUCGCCUGUAACGAAGAGUGAGUGACGGUAAUGGGUAAAGAAGCAACGGCUAACUACGUG